rnacentral:tRNA from 1 species
CUCAGAGUGGCCUAGAGGAUAAGGCACUGGCCUGGGAGUCAGAAGGUCCUGGGUUCUAAUCCCGACUCUGUUG